CCGGGCGCACUCCCCCGCGCCGGCGGCCGGGCCCCCGCCGGACUGCGGAGAGCGAGGCUGGGAGAGAGCGAGCGCGACGGCGGCGGCGGCGGAGAGAGGCUCUUUGUUGCCUCCCUACCCCGCCCCCUGCACCCCUCUGGGAUUCGGGCGGGCCACCACCCCCCCCUCCCGCCCAACACCUCCGGCCAGUUGUCGGCCGGGGUUCCUCGCCCGUGGUUGUCCUUGACCGUCGGCCCCCUCCCCGUCGCCUCCCGCUCCCCAGAGGCUUGGGGAGCUCCGAGGCCUCCCCCACGGCCACGGUGCGGAGACCGAGGCGCCGAGACCUCCUGGGCGCCAGACCCGAAUCCCAGCGUGCUGCGCCGAUGGAACGAGUUGAUGUGCACACUAGGUAUAGGGAUGACUUCAUCCCCAAACGAACGCAGCCGACUCUCGGGGAAACGCAGUCGCCGGGAGACGCGCGCGGAACAGUGUGUUGCCGCAAGAGUGGAAGAAGAGAAACGCAGCCAGUGGAGCCGCUUUCCAGCGUCAUUAGCAAAGAGGGAAUCCCGGGCAGGGGGCGGGGAGAGAGAGGAACUAAUGAUAAUUUUAAAUUUUUCGUCAUUCCCAAUGGUCUUGAAGUCACCUCCCUUAAAAAGUAGAUAUAAAAUACUGGCGAGGCAAUUUCAUUUCAAGUCAAGUCGGGGAGGAGGGCAUCCAGGAAGCCAGAAUUGAUCGUUGUUGAAGGUUUUGUUUUCGGUUUUUUUUAAAUCUAAAAACAAAUCCAAUAAUAAAAUUUUUAACUGUACGAAUUACGGCCCCCUUUUAGUCCGGAAGACAGGGAUGUACUUUCUGUAUAAAAGGUGAGGAGGAUAGAAAAGGGUUGUUGCUACAGGGAUCCUAUUGCUGAAGGAUCUCAUCCAAAAUGGAGGACCUACCAUGACUCCAGGAAUCCAUUCAAAAGUUUUGGUGUUUUGUUUUAAGAUGCAGGUACCAUUCAAAAGAUAGUUAGGAAGGUUGGGAUAAUGUACACUUCCAAAUGAAAAGACAGGUUAUAGUGAUCCGUGGUCAAUGCCUGAUUUGUCUAUAAUUGAACUGUGUAGCCCAUUUUUAACCAUAAAAAAAGCUUCCUGGUUUCAGCCGGGUGCGGUGGCUCACGCCUGUCAUCUCAGCACUUCGGGAGGCUGAGGCAGGCGAAUCAUCUGAGGUCAGGAGUUCCAGACCAGCCUGGCCAACAUGGCGAAACCCUGUCUCUACUAAAAAUAAAAAAUAAAAAAACAGCCGGGCGUGGUGGUGCACGCCUGUAAUCCCAGCUGAGUCAAGAGAAUCGCUUGAACCCGGGAAGAGGAGGUUGUAGUGAGCUCAGAUCACACCACUGCACUCCAGCCUAGGUGACAGAGCGAGACUCCAUCUAAAAAAUAAAUAAAUAAAUAAAUAAAUAAAUAAAUAAAUAAAAUUCCUGGUUUCAG
rnacentral:lncRNA from 1 species